rnacentral:lncRNA from 1 species
AAAAUCCGUCUGCCUCCACCGUGAAGCUUUUCUGCUUCCUCCGCCAUUAAGCUUUUCUGCCUCGUCAUCCACGUUCCGCCACCGCUCCUCCAUGCUCGCCACCGGCGACCACUGAUUCGUCACGCCACCACUGCCGACUCAUCACAUCACCACUUUCUCAGAUCAGGAAAAUAAAAAAAAACAUUAAUAAAUUUUAAAACAGAGGAGUGUAAGAGAAGAAACAAAAUACAUAAAUCUCACCAACGAUUGUUGAUGCUUGCUCUGUCUUUUUUUCAUUGAGGAGAUGAGAAGAAGAGAAAUAGAAGAGACGAUGAGAGAGGAGAAGAGGAAGCAUGAAGUCUCGACAGGGACGAGAAGGAAGAAAAAGAUAAAGAAAAUAUUAAAUCAAAUACAUUAAU